GAUGAACGCUAGCGGGAGGCCUAACACAUGCAAGCCGAGCGGUAUUGUUUCUUCGGAAAUGAGAGAGCGGCGUACGGUGCGGAACACGUGUGCAACCUGCCUUUAUCUGGGGGAUAGCCUUUCGAAAGGAAGAUUAAUACUCCAUAACAUAUUGAACGGCAUCGUUUAAUAUUGAAAGCUCAGGCGGAUAGAGGUGGGCACGCGCAAGAUUAGCUAGUUGGUGAGGUAACGGCUCACCAAGGCAAUGAUCUUUAGGGGGCCUGAGAGGGUGAUCCCCCACACUGGUACUGAGACACGGACCAGACUCCUACGGGAGGCAGCAGUGAGGAAUAUUGGUCAAUGGGUGCAAGCCUGAACCAGCCAUCCCGCGUGAAGGACGAACUGCCCUAUGGGUUGUAAACUUCUUUUGUAUAGGGAUAAACCUUUCCACGUGUGGAAAGCUGAAGGUACUAUACGAAUAAGCACCGGCUAACUCCGUGCCAGCAGCCGCGGUAA
rnacentral:rRNA from 1 species